AGAGUUUGUUUCUGGCUCAGGAUGAACGCCGGCGGUGUGCCUAAUACAUGCAAGUCGUACGCACUGGCCCAACUGAUUGAUGGUGCUUGCACCUGAUUGACGAUGGAUCACCAGUGAGUGGCGGACGGGUGAGUAACACGUAGGUAACCUGCCCCGGAGCGGGGGAUAACAUUUGGAAACAGAUGCUAAUACCGCAUAACAACAAAAGCCACAUGGCUUUUGUUUGAAAGAUGGCCUUGGCUAUCACUCUGGGAUGGACCUGCGGUGCAUUAGCUAGUUGGUAAGGUAACGGCUUACCAAGGCGAUGAUGCAUAGCCGAGUUGAGAGACUGAUCGGCCACAAUGGAACUGAGACACGGUCCAUACUCCUACGGGAGGCAGCAGUAGGGAAUUUUCCACAAUGGGCGCAAGCCUGAUGGAGCAACACCGCGUGAGUGAAGAAGGGUUUCGGCUCGUAAAGCUCUGUUGUUGGAGAAGAACGUGCGUGAGAGUAACUGUUCACGCAGUGACGGUAUCCAACCAGAAAGUCACGGCUAACUACGUGCCAGCAGCCGCGGUAAUACGUUGGUGGCAAGCGUUAUCCGGAUUUAUUGGGCGUAAAGCGAGCGCAGGCGGUUGCUUAGGUCUGAUGUGAAAGCCUUCGGCUUAACCGAAGAAGUGCAUCGGAAACCGGGCGACUUGAGUGCAGAAGAGGACAGUGGAACUCCAUGUGUAGCGGUGGAAUGCGUAGAUAUCGGGAAGAACACCGAUGGCGAAGGCAGCUCUCUGGGCCGUCACUGACGCUGAGGCGCGAAAGCUGGGGGAGCGAACAGGAUUAGAUACCCUGGUAGUCCCAGCCGUAAACGAUGGAUAUUGGGGGGGGGGGAUCCCCCCCUUCCGUGCCGCAGCCACGCAAUAAGUAUCCCCGCCUGGGGAGUACGGCCGCAAGGCUAAAACUCAAAGGAAUGACGGGGGGCCCGCACAAGCAGCGGAGCGUGUGGCUUAAUUCGAAGCAACGCGAAGAACCUUACCAGGGCUUGACAUGCGCCUGAAGCCGCGGAGACGCGGUGGCCGAGAGGAGGGCGCGCAGGUGGUGCAUGGCUGUCGUCAGCUCGUGUCGUGAGAUGUUGGGUUAAGUCCCGCAACGAGCGCAACCCCCGUCCCGUGUUGCCAGCAUUAGGUUGGGGACUCGCGGGAGACUGCCGGCGUCAAGCCGGAGGAAGGUGGGGACGACGUCAAGUCAUCAUGCCCCUUAUGCCCUGGGCUGCACACGUGCUACAAUGGCCGGUACAGAGGGUUGCCACCCCGCGAGGGGGAGCGGAUCCCGGAAAGCCGGCCCCAGUUCGGAUCGCAGGCUGCAACCCGCCUGCGUGAAGCCGGAGUUGCUAGUAAUCGCGGAUCAGCACGCCGCGGUGAAUACGUUCCCGGGCCUUGCACACACCGCCCGUCA
rnacentral:rRNA from 1 species